rnacentral:rRNA from 1 species
AGUGAACGCUGGCGGUAGGCCUAACACAUGCAAGUCGAACGGCAGCACAGUAAGAGCUUGCUCUUACGGGUGGCGAGUGGCGGACGGGUGAGGAAUACAUCGGAAUCUACUUUUUCGUGGGGGAUAACGUAGGGAAACAUACGCUAAUACCGCAUACGACCUACGGGUGAAAGCAGGGGAUCUUCGGACCUUGCGCGAUUGAAUGAGCCGAUGUCGGAUUAGCUAGUUGGCGGGGUAAAGGCCCACCAAGGCGACGAUCCGUAGCUGGUCUGAGAGGAUGAUCGGCCACACUGGAACUGAGACACGGUCCAGACUCCUACGGGAGGCAGCAGUGGGGAAUAUUGGACAAUGGGCGCAAGCCUGAUCCAGCCAUACCGCGUGGGUGAAGAAGGCCUUCGGGUUGUAAAGCCCUUUUGUUGGGAAAGAAAAGCAGCAGGUUAAUACCCCGCUGUUCUGACGGUACCCAAAGAAUAAGCACCGGCUAACUUCGUG